rnacentral:rRNA from 1 species
AUGGCUCAGGAUGAACGCUAGCUACAGGCUUAACACAUGCAAGUCGAGGGGCAGCAUGAGAUUAGCUUGCUAAUCUUGAUGGCGACCGGCGCACGGGUGAGUAACGCGUAUCCAACCUUCCCCUACUCAGGCAUAGCCCGGUGAAAACCGGAUUAACUCCUGAUAGUUUCACUAGAUGGCAUCUGACGGUGAAUAAAGCUCAGCGGUAAGGGAUGGGGAUGCGUCUGAUUAGCUUGUUGGCGGGUAACGGCCCACCAAGGCGACGAUCAGUAGGGGUUCUGAGAGGAAGGUCCCCCACAUUGGAACUGAGACACGGUCCAAACUCCUACGGGAGGCAGCAGUGAGGAAUAUUGGUCAAUGGGCGCGAGCCUGAACCAGCCAAGUAGCCGUGCAGGACGACGGCCCUAUGGGUUGUAAACUGCUUUUGUGCGGGAAUAAAGUCAGGGACGUGUCCCUGUUUGCAUGUACCGCAAGAAUAAGGACCGGCUAAUUCCGUGCCAGCCGCCGC